rnacentral:pre_miRNA from 1 species
AGAGGAAUACCUGGGUCAAAUGGUGGUGUCAUUUCCAGAUUUCCAAGGAAUCUCCAUACUGCUUUCCAUAUUGGGUACACCAAUUUGCAAUCCCACCUGGAGU